rnacentral:lncRNA from 1 species
UGAGCGCGUAUGAGGGUUCGACCAUCGGCUAGCUACGGAUCUAAGGUGGUUUAACGUACCGCAGGCUCAUAUAUGACUAUAUGAGUGUUGUCGAUCUAUCUUGUUUGUGUGUUUCAGGUUUCCUUUUGGUGAAUAAAAGAAGUGUUGGUGUACUCAUUUGCCAUUUGAUUGUGUGAUGGUUGUAUAGCUUGCGAUAUAACGUUGUUCACCGACAACAUAAUUUGCAUUCGAUGGUACGUACAUGAUAUUUGUCAAUUGGUUACUCGACACACUACAUAUCGAUUUUUUUUAUAUCCGGCCUAGUGCAUUUCGGUCUUAGUUACGACGCCAUUGGAUACGGCUCGACUCUCAGUGUGCAGUUCAGUUGAUACAUUGUGCGGAGGUUGGCGUUGAUAACAUUCUGUUGUUAUUGACUAGGUUCAUGAGAUGAUAUAGAGGGCGUAAAAAAUCGAAUUUAUUCAUAUAUCUUUAAAGAAAGCAAUCACUCAUCUGAUUAUCUAGCUAACAUCAUGUAUGAGCUGCUCAUUGAUGUGUAUUUUGUUUAUUUAUCUAAUUCUUUAUAGGCGUAUUGGUCAUGUUACAAUAUAUUGAUAUUUCAAAGACCAUUUUGUAUGUGUAAUUAGGGUGAUUUCUUCGUUGCGAAUGUUUACACAAAGCGGUAAACAAUUGAUUACAAAAUAUACUCUAUUCCCACAAAUAAUAAUUAAAUUCCUAAUCUUAAAUUAAAAGAUAAAAUGAGCCACUAAUAAUGGUCACACUUUGUAGUUGGGAAUGAAAGUUAAUCUCAAUGGUUUCUUAAAAUAAAAUGUAGGGCUGAAUAUUGAGAAUAGCCAUAUUGGAUACUUCCUGAUAAUUUAAGGUUGGGCUGAAAUCAGUAUACAAUAAAAAGGCCCAAGCAGAAGGCCCAGUUUGAAUGAGGCUGUGAAACUAACCCAACUUGGACUCAAAUGUACUAUUACCUGACACACUCGUACCAGAUAAGAUAGAAGAAAUGUGGUUGGGUUGUUAUCAUAGCGAAGACAUUAAUGAUUAACGAUGGGUGAAGAGAAUUUGAUUAUGUGGAUAUUUGCUUGGCUACCUUACAAAUAAUACAUAAAAAAGAAAUAAGAUAGAAGGAAUAAAUAUUAUAUUUGGUGUUCGUUUGUAUCAAACACAAUACUUUAUGCUAUUAACCCACAACGUUAUUAACUGCACACUGAUCCACUUAGACUAUGGUGUGUAUUUGCUUAAAGACUUAAUUAAGGGAAGACAUACAUAAUUACCCAUUCACCCCUCAGGAUUCCCUGUUAUUACUUAUUAAUACUUUUCCUUUUAACUUGACGUACGGGACAACUAAUAGCUUUGAACAGUCAAUCUUUAAUCCCCAAUUGGUCUGCGCUAAACAAGAAAGAAUAAUCAAAUUAAUUUCAUAGUUAUGUAAUACAUACCCUUCCUUUCAGCCUUAUCCAAUAUAGAAUUAUUAACCGAUUAUCUAAAAACAUGCACUUCCCCUCCUUAACUAACCACUGUCUCCAUUCCAUCUCGAAACUUUCCAACAAUUUGCACUUAGCUCAACAUAUGUAUCCCAUUCCUCAAAUUAUGUUCAAAUCCCACCUGUUUAAAGAUUUCAAAGACAACCAUAAACCCUUAGAUCUAAGGGUUUGACCCUCUGUCUAAUCUACGCCUUAUCAUUAUCGACGGCAAAUCUCCGUCAAGUGCUCGGCCGUCGGAGGUGUCAACGAAGAAGAUGAGCAGUUUCGAGAUUCAAACGCUCACGACUUGACUUCAGCAGGUUGCUCUGAUCAUCUAGUUUAGAGAGUUAGGAUUUUCUAAUCUCAGCAGCGUCCAGGGCGCAACCAAUGUUCAAGGCGAGGAUCAUAAAGAGCUUGACAUCGUUUUGAAUGAGGUUCGUUCGAGAUUUUUAAAAUACAAAAUUAUUACCUGAAUGCCUAAUUUACCCCUCUUGUUGAUUUGUCUUUGAAAUGUUGUAUCUUUGAAUCCAAAAUACAGCCGAUUGCAAUCGAUAAAUUAUUUGAAUAUUCCACAAUCGUUCCUUCCAUCUCCACCUACCUUCUCUCUCACACUCUAUAUAUAUAUAUAUACCAGAAGAAUCAUCAAAUCCCAAUCCUCAAUCUACCAUUUCGGUUCGCCUCUUCUAAUUUCCUCUCCUCUGAGGCCUCCUCAUAUAUAUGAAUUAUCUCCGAUCAUUCUCCGGCAAGCUCGUUUUCCACUCCGUCUCCGUUGUCCUUCUCCAUUGGUUCCACUCCUUUUCCUGAAUCCCGAACUAAUUUCAUCCCCCGUUGUGUUUGCUCUCUUUCCGAUAAUCGGAAAAAGUUAAAAAUGUCGGCGGCCGCGGCGAUCGACGAGGAGAAGAAGAGGAAGAGAAUGAUAUCGAACAGGGAAUCGGCGAGGAGAUCUCGAAUGAGGAAGCAGAAGCAGAUUGAAGAUCUGAUUGCCGAGAAGGCGGUAUUGGAGAGAAGCCUAAGUGAAGCGAAUCAGAAGCUGAGUGGUCUGUGGCAGAGGUACCGCCAUUUGGAGGCUGAGAACGAAUCGCUGAGGGAUGAGAUGGCGAGACUCACGGAGUACUCGGCGAGUCUAAAUCGGAUGUUGGCGAGUUAUAACGGGACGGAGUCCGGUAUGGAUGAUGAUGUCUCGGAUGGUAAAGACGUCGAGGAGGCUGCUAGUACGGCGGCGUUUCAGAAUCCAUGGAGUGAUUUCACGGUGCAGAGCAGUUCGGCGCAGUUGGUUACAGACUGUUUCUAGCUUUUUCAGUGGUCAUUUAGAUGAUGAAUGACGGUGAUGAUGAUGGUGUUGAAUCAAGAUUACGAUUUUUCGAAGCAAGUAUUGGUUGCUACUUGCUAGAAUUUGGGGUUUGGUGUUGUACAUUCAAUUGGAUUUGUAAUGCUGUUUUUUUAUUGUUUAUUAAUUUGUUUUUAAGUGGUUUAUUAUUAUUAUUAUUUAUUAAGUUUUUUUAAAUCAAAUUAUUAUUUAUUGAUUAAAAAGGAAAUAAAAAGAAAAGCGAGGGAAGGGGACGGUGAAGGUCAGACACCUAAGCUUUGUUUGGUAUGAAAUAAUCGAGAAUGAGGGAAAAGUAAUAAAAAGGAAAUUGAAGAUACGAAGAUUGUGUAAUUUCAAUUAUAUUGUUUGAUGAUAAGGUUUAUUUUAAAAUUUCUAUUUAAGCUAAUGAUGAUGAAUUUGUAGGCUUGGGUUUUAAGUCUGUUACGAUUUGGGUCAAAGCUAGAUGUAGUAACAUUUACCAAGCUAGUCACUGCAAUCCAAUUUGAUCCAACAACUUCAAUGGCAAAACCCCAACAAAAACCCGUAACAACGGGACUACUAGCAUAACUCUAGCAUUCAAAAUCGUAACUCCAACGAUGCAACUUCGACUAUGAACGAUCACGUAAAAUAGCAAAUUCUACAGGCAUCGAGUCUUCAACCAACAAUGUCGGACAAGGGAUGAAGAGUUCUGGAGCUAAUAUUAUAUUUUGCUUUAAAACAACUCCAAACAAUCAAAAGGGGAAGAGGUAUCUGGACAAUACGAGACCAACGGAUAAGAAGGCGGCGGGCGUCACAUAUUUUUCUCCAAAACAAAAGUUGUCGAUGAAACAUUAUCCUUUUAGACCUCACCAGAAUCAUAAGACUCUUUCCCAGAAACGCAACCUUCAACUCUGCAACAACUGGACACAAUCAUUAAUCCCCCCACCAAAAGUCAACCACAACCACAAUAGUCAACAUAGAUAAACCCCAUUUGUCCCUUCUAAGAUGGCAACACUUAGAUAUGGCUGAAACGAUGUCUUACUCGAGAUGCUGCAACACCAGCCAAAGUCUCGGGUAGGUUUGCAAGGAAGUGAUUUUGAAAAGCAAACUUUCCUCCCUCACAAAUUGGUUUGGCCGUCGAAAAUGUUGAAUGAAAUUCUGAACAUUCGACUGGCAGAAGAGGAUAUUUGAUCACAACAAAAGCGAACUUUCCGACUACCAUCUAAAUCCCAUCAACCAAGCCCAAGCACACUCAUUUUCAAUAGUAGGUGAAAGCCUCAACCGUUAUCACAGGGAAAAUAUGAAGUCUAUGACUAAUGAUCCAUCUAGAAACACAGCACAUAGAACAAACUUCGACUUGGCAACAAAAUAUGGACAGUAUCUUAUAAAAUUUGACUUCUGGUUCAGUCAAGGAUCUAAAAGCUUCCCGAGAUCUCUCUCAUUCAAACCCUACCAUUACUCAUAUUCCAGAACUCAAUCUCAUGCUCCAGCACCUCCAUGAAGGUGGUCUCAGCCUUUGCAACGACAUUACCCGGUGCCUUUUCAAGGCACCGGGCAACAAUUCCCCCAAGGGCGUGACAGUAUUCGCCGAAACGUGGAUUCCCCCAUCUCUGGCAAGCAUCUUUUAGCUCCGGAGGAACCCUGUUCCCAUCUUCCAGACAAUACGAAAAGCUCUCCUGGUACACCGUUUCGAUUGCCCAAAACGCUGUCAUAGCUACCGUAUAGUCCACUUCUGGUGACGUUAACUUCUCCAGAAAUCUAAAAACAAACACCAUGGCUACAAUUAAUUCAUACCGAAAUCGGGCUCUACAAUAGUGCAAAUUUAUGAUGUUAUCAUUACUCGUGUUCCAGAACGAAAUCAUGUACGAAUAUACGAAAUGAGUAUCGAUUAAUUCAUUGAAUUCAUAGAUGAACCUGCAGUAAUUCUGGUUAGCGGGGUGGAUAGUGAGAUUGGAGAGAGGAACGUCCCAUUUGGAAGCCUCUUGUUUGAACCAAUUGAUUUCAUCGCUCAUAGAGGCCAUGCCAGCCAGAACCACUUCCACAUCGUUACUCUCCGACGACUGCUUGGAAGCUUUGAUCAGCACACUCGCAACAAACGGAGUGAAGAAAUACCUCACGAACACAUAAUCUUGCGCCUGCAGAUUGAUUAAUUUUUCUCAUACUAAUUACAAAUUUUAUCGUACAGAGACGGAUAAAAUUAAACGGCGGAGGAAGAGUACCAGCCAACGUUUGAAGGCGGGUCGAUCUAUGGAGCCAUCUCGUAUGUUGACGGUGAAACUGUGUCUGGUAGCUCCCGUGUAGAGGAUCCGAUGCUUCCUGAUCCAACUAUCGAUUAUUAUCCUGCCGGAUUCCGCCAUUUUUGCUUUUCCUGCUUCUUUUCUCGGGGCAAAUUUUGCUGCCGUUUCGCACCGCUAUCUCUGGCGAUUAGUACUGUUACGGGGUUGACUUUAUGACUUUAAUUCGGAACACGUGUCACACGCUUGAUGACACUUGUUGCCAUGUGGCGUUUCCCACCGUGACAGGUGGUGUCCUCGUCAGCACCGUUUCCGGCUUUCUGAUGGGCCUUACUUGAGCCAGCUAACAAGACCACAAGCCCAAGUUACUGGCUCAACGUCCUGCUGCGGUAAAUUCAAUGCUACACCAUCAAUCCUUCUUCAUAUCAGAGAGGAAUGUGAAUAUGGGGAGUGCUUAACGAGAUAUGAUCCGAUUUCUAGCACUUGAUUGUGACAAACGUUACUUGCAUUCCAAUAAAAAUCUCUUCUAACAAUUCGAGAUAUCGGGAUGCAAUGAUUUUUGACAUGGUAUCAUCAUUUUUGAGAGGUCUUCAUUUCGAAUUUCGAUAAACUCUAAUACAUUGAAAUUAUGAAAACCUCAACUCCAUUUUAAGUAUAAAUAACAAAAACACUCACCUGAAUCGGUCUACCGAUCCUUCACAGAGAAAGCCUUGAGACUAGACUGAGCAACAAUUUUAUGCAAAGGUGGGUUCUUGUGUUGUGAGGUUUAGUAACAUGAAUAUGCAUUAGUAACACAUGACAACAACGAAUCAAAUUUUAGUUCUUAGUAUGCUGACUGAUAAUGGAGUCAUAGAACCAGAUCAUAAACAUUAAAAUCUGAUUAAAUGUAAAAAUGAAGUAUUGACAGCUGACUUCGGCGUAGAACUAUCAGUCUAUCCUCCUUGCUUGUUAUCCUGGGAAUAUCAGAAUACUAUUAUUUGUACUCUUGUCAGGAAAUACUGCACGUGGAAAAAAGUCUAAGCCAAAUCCAAAUGAAGGAAUUUUCUACGAGGACUCGUAAUCCAAGGUUCACAAGUCCCAGAAUUUGAUGCUUGUCCAGAUGCUCAAAUUCCUAGCUUACUUGUCGUCUUGUUCAAUCAUGUUGAUGCAAAAUAUGCUCGAAAGGGAUCUCGUACUUGGUUGGUUGUUCUUGGCGACAUUGUUAUAGCAAGUAAACUAAAAAUCAGUCCUACCUGCAACAAACUUACACUGAAGACAGUAGUUUUCAUCAACUCUUUAAGUUUGUCUCCAUGCUUCCCUACAUGAUUUUGAUCGGAAAGGAGCUUAGUUCACAUGAUUUGACGGCUCUGUUUAUAUAUCCCCUGUAUUUAUCUGUUUCUCAGUCUUUAACAACACUAUCUCAUUCAGCACACAAUCUCUGACUGUUGAAUGAGAAAUUCUUACGACAAUCCAAUUCCGACUGCAGUAAUGCAACUCUAGUGGUGGUGAAACUCAAGCAUCAGUGGAACUUCUGGAAUCUAAGUUCAGCAAUGGUGGAAAAACUCUGGUCAUUUGAGUGGUUAAGAUAACUGAGAGGCUCCAACAAUAAACUCCAAAAACGGUGGAAGUUCGACAAUGACACAACCACACAGUGGAAAUCGCAAACGUUAAAAAGGCUGGCCCAUACAGGUCUCGAACCUGUGACCUUCGCGUUAUUAGCACGACGCUCUAACCAGCUGAGCUAAUAGGCCAAUGAUGAUGGGAUUGUUGGAAAGUAUAAUUUGUACACUGAUUCUAGUGAAAACACAUUUUGCAAAACUUCGAUGGCGGAACUCAUAAAAACCGUAACAACGGGUCUCUACUACCAUAAUGCUAGUAUUCGAAGUCGUAACUCCAACGAUGCAACUUUCAUUACGAACCUUAUAUUCUCUAACUAUUUGAAUUCUCUUCCUAUCCUACAAAUUUAUUCGCACAAACGAUCAAAGAGUACGCAUAUAGUGUUUUUUAUCGGGUUUUUUAUCGGGUACUGAAAGCAAACAGGAAUCAACAAGCUAAGCUUUUGUUUGGUUGCUUUGUGGCCGACAAAGCAUCUAAUGAAUGAAUGUGUAUAUAUGUGUGUUGGCCAGUUCAAAUUUGCACGGCCGAUUACUCUUCUUCUUCCAAGUUCAACUCAGCAUCUUUACCUACCUGCAUCAAUUGUCGACAAGCUGAUAACCGACUGUACCGCGAAAAGCAUUUUCUCCACCGCAAACAGCUCUGAUAAAUAUGUGUCCGUCGUCUGUUUCCGAUUGGAAGAAGAAGUAAAAAGCGCAUCAGAGCAGGCUAUCAGCAUCUUAAUUAUAAGAUCCUUCUUAGCCGGCAGUUAUGAAACUGAGCCUUUUAUCGUUUUAUCAAAUGAGGGAAAUAACAGCAUCUCUGUCGACGAUGCCGAUCCAUCUAUACCUGUUCAUUAUUAUGCUGCAUGUUUAUCAUGCACAGUUUGUUCCUCGGCAAACACUCGUUGCAUCUUUAAUUCCUAGGCAUGCAUCUCGUCCAGCUGGCACACCUUUGUCAGCUAGUGAUGAAUCCAUGAGUAUUCUAAAUUUAACAGGUUACAUAACAAGUAAGGUUUACGUAACGAUAGUUAUUUCUAACACAACAUGUAAAAUUUAACCUAUUAUAUAAUUUAUAGCUCACAUAACGACAAUUAUAUUUUACCUUUUACGUAACGUAAUUUACUAAACCUAUUAUAGCAUGUCACCAAUUCAUAUUACGUGGGAGCCAAAAGCCAUAAAAAAGUCAAGAUAUAAACAAUUAUGAAAUGACAAAGUCAUAGUUUUUUUUUUGAUGAAAAAUUACAUAGAUGAAAUUGCGUUGGAGUAAUUCAAAUACAUGGAUCAAAUUUAUAAUAAAUGUGAAGUAUCUAUAAUUUAUAGCGGAAUCAUGAUGGUUUGAAAUUCUAUGAGGGAUUUCAAGUUUAUAGGACUAAUUUAUAUCAAAGUUUGAUAUAAAUUUUGAUUUCGAAAAUUUUAUAUAAAAUAUCAUCGUUUUAGAUCAAUAGAUUCUGGAUGAUGACCUAAAUUGACCCACCCCAAAUCCUUAUUGAUGAAACCUGGGACAGACACACGUCACCGUUGGGGGCAAUUCAACCACCCACUCUGUAACAUGCCUACACUAGCCAUCCAUCGUUAACGGCUUAGAUUUUGCCUUCAUCUAGUCGUCACUCCCAUUGUGACUUAUAGAAGGCAAACCCAUAUAUGCCAUCAUGACCCUAAAAAAUAUUUUUCACCCUUUUAUGACAUUUCACCUCUCAUCGAAAAAAAAGUGAUUAGAUAAUCUUCCAUUUAAAUUUAUUGGAUACGGACAUGAAACAGGAAUCAACAAGCUUUUGUUUGGUUGCUUUGCCGAUAAAGCAUCUUAUUAUGAAUAUAAUGUGUAUGCGUGUUGGCUUAUUGGAGUUUGCACGGCCGAUUAGACAUCUUCUUCCUAAUUCAACUCAGCAUCUUCUCCGUAUCUGGAUUGUCGCCAACCUCAUCACCGAACGUGAUUUCUGACUUUCUCCACCACCGGAACACACACAGCUUACGUCUUCUUCCGGUUGGAGGAAUAAAUAAAAACGCAUCAAGCUCUAGCUACCAGAACCCCUGGGAUCCUCUGAUGCCGGCAGCAAUAUUUACCGGUAGAAUGAAUGGCAAUUUACCCUUUUGUCCUUUCAUCCAACCAAGGAAAUACCAGCAUCUCUAUCAAUGCCGAUGAUUUACACAGAGAACAUAUACGAACCCUUUUUACUGUGAAUACAUGUGUAACAUGCAAUGUUUUACUGAUCAAAUGUAGGGGUCUUUUCGAUUCAACUCGCUGUGUCAAGUUGGUGUGCAUCAAUCAACAAAUUUGUUGAUUUCGAGGACGAGGUCUCAAAAGUACGAAUUACGAUAAAUAAAAGGAUUAGUCAAUAUAAAUGGUCCCUUAAGUAUUAAGCGGGUUUAUUUUAGUCACUUAUGUAUCGAUUGUAACUUUUUAAUCCUUUUUGUAUUUAAAUUUAACCUAUCCAUCCAAUAAAUAAAUUCCAUCCUAAAAAUUAGUUAGUUUGCCAUAUAUAAUAGCUGGGUCACUACUACAUAUGUAUACUACACAUACAUGUGGCAAAUGCUACUUCAUUCCAAAUUCUAACUUGUUAAACUCCCAACCGAAAAAUCUCAAAUAAACCCAAUUUUUAAACCCAACCCAAAUUACUCUACUUCAUUUUCUUUCUCCCCUGUUUCUUCUUCAUUCUUCGAAUCCCACCCACCUAAUUUGUUCCAGCAAAGGCAUUAACAACCAUCCAAAAAGAAAACGGGUUUGGAACGUGAGGUUAUUAAAGAAGAAAAAGGAGGGUUGAAGGAUGAAGAAGAUGAUGAAUCGUGUAAAUGAAUUGAACUGAAUUAAGUUUUUUUGGUUAGAAUAUUAAUAAGUUCAAGUAGGAUUGAUGUGGCAGAAGCCAUGUGUAUAUAGAGUAAUGACUCAUUUUGUUGACGAGGCCAUUUAACAUAAAUGUUGGACGGAAUUCGCUUAUUGGAUGGAUAUGUUAGAUUUAAAAUAAAAAGGACCACAAAGUUACAAUUGAUACGUAAAGGACUAAAAUAAACCCGCUUAAUACGUAAGGGACCAUUUAUAUUGAUUAGCCUAAAUAGAAGUUGAUUUCUGUACCAUGCAAAUAAAUAAGUUGAGUGAUUUAUGUACAAAAUAAUCAAUUAGUAUUUCAAUUAAAAAAUCACAAGACUUUUAGGAAUAGCAAGUGACGUAAAAGACGAAGUUAGAAAACGCGAGCGGCAAACUAAUUCGGUUUCUAACUCUCCUAACAAAUACUACUUCACAAGUGACAUUACAAAAAUAAAAAGAGGAACAAUCCUGGAUAAUACGCCCCUUUUCCAAGACGUCAUCGUGACAAUGUCGAAUGGCAAAGCAUGCUGCAAGACAAUCCGUUUCAAAGGUGACGUGAGAAAGGCCUCGAGCAUGCGUCCACUGCAUGGUCAGAACAAAAGCCAAACCAUAGAGUCUGGUCGGGAAAAAAGGAAGAGAAGAAAGUAUACAAGCUAAGUAUGAUGAUGUGUGUAUGUAGUCAGUGCCAGUGGCCAGUGGGGCAUAUUAUCAAAGAAUUUGCAUCCUUCAAGUUUUUCCUCCAUUCUAAUCUCACCCUUUAAAAAAACUAUCCAAACUCAUCUCAGCUGUAAAGUUAAGCGUUAGUAAAAAAAUAAAAAUCAAACCGCCUGAAAACUUGUCUCCGGCGAAAACUCACGCCGUGUAUUUCUUACCCCUCGGCCGUUUCGGAACUUGCCGAUAAAACUUCCACGCCGACACCGAAUGCAACGGCGUCCCUUUCCAUCCCGUCACCAAACACUUCCCGUUCCGAUCCACCGUACACGAUUCCCCUGCAUUAAAAUUCCUCAGCAGCAGCGCCGCCUGAUAAAACGACGACCUGCUCAUCUCCAUCUCCACCAUUCCAACUCUUCCGAAGUAAUCUCUCCACUCCUCAACCCUCAUGUGCCGGAAAACCCUCUCUUCCUCCCCCGCCCCCGUCAACACAUCCCGGAUCUCCUGCCCCACCGUCGACUCCAUCACCCUCCGGUUCCCGUCCGCCCGACCCAAACAAUCCUCCAAACAAUCGAACACCGCUCCGUACGUCGACAUCGCCCCCUCGAAUCGUUCCACUAUCUCCGUCGAGUCGUGGUUUGCCUCCAGUUCCGUCACCACAAUCGCGCAAGGAUUCAAAUUCCUCAACACCCUGAUUAACGACUCCAAGCUCCCCGCCUGUGCUCUCACAUUCCUCAGGAUGUUCCUCGCGUAGACGGCGACCGUUUCUCCGUCACCGAUGUCGAACAUUUCCUCCGUUAAGUCCCUAACUGUAGGGACAAUAAUGUAAUUGAACCGUAGCGGGAUGUUUAGCGUUUCCGCAAAACUCGCUAACCGUUUCCCAGUCUCUUCUAUCCUCUGUUCCGAAGAUUUCAAUUUCCCCGUGACGACAGCUGUCACCGUCAGCAUCUCAAUCGGCGAUUGCCGAUUGGCGAGCGCCUGCAUCAGGACAGUACAGUGUCCCCCGCUCCGGAUCGCGAGAUCGAUCAGCCGGACUCGCUUCGCUGUCGCGACGUUCUCGGCGACGGUCUGGAUUCCGGCGAAUUGAGUGACCUGGACGUGCGGGAGCUGUAACGAACAAGCGAUCAGAGCUGGAUUCGAACACGACGAAGUUUCCGUCGGAGCCAAAUCAGUACUCGAUCGUUGUUCUCCGAAUUCUUCCCAUCCUAUUUCGGAUCCAAAUAUUUUUUCCUGAAGAGAUUUGGUGAAGUAGUGAACGAGCCGCUGAACGGAGGUUCCUGUAGCGGAGGAGAGGAAUUGACACCAACUAAGGAAUUUGAUCGACUGUUGGAGCUGUUUGGAAGCGAGUUUAUGAGAUGCAGCGAGAAGGAGAAGGAGGAGCUCGACGUCUUUGAUCUCCUCGCCGGAGAGGUUGAAUUGAGAAGCGUCGAAGAAAUGUUUAAGCUUAGAUACAUCGACACGGUGUUGUGAAGAAAGCUGAAGGAAUCUAGCUUUAGCGACUUGGAUGGUUUCUCCGGUUGAUAAUCUCCGGUUUCCGGCGGCCAUUAAUAGUAAGAAAUCUUAAAUCCCGUCCCAGAAGGGAAAAAUAGAGGAAACGCAGAGGUUUUAUUUAUUAUUAUGUCGAUGCUGAUUCGGUUCAAUUUAUAAUUACUGUUGGAAUUUUUGAUUUUGCGAAGGAUGCUUCGGUGAUUAUUUAAGAUGAUGCCAUUUGCCGUAUUUGUGUGUAUGGUUUCGGCAUCUAAAAACUAUGGUUACGUCGGCUUCUCCUUGUCUGGAAACUUAACGGAAUUGUGAGGGUUAAAAGAUCUACUUUUUUUUAGUGAUGCGGCAGUAUCAAUUUAUUUUUUGUUUGACAAAAUGUAGAGGGAUUUUGGACUGAUUCCUCAAAGAAUAUGAUACUAAUUAUUUUCAAAGAAGGUGAAAUUUUUUUUAUUCUUUUUCGUAUCCUGUUUUCAAUGCUAAGAGUAUGAGAUGGAUGAAAUACACUUUUAAAUGGAGUUGUUUCAAUGGUAAGGUUGUGUAGUGAAGGUUUAAAGGUUUCGUUAGAUUUAUACUUUGUCUUGUACGAUCGAUAUGUCUCUAUUUUAAAUAAAAUACACGUUCAAUUGCUCCAAUUUUAGUUGCCGGGUGGCUUUCUUCAUGUUUUCAUUUUAUUUUGACGUUGAAUCAUCUCUUAGAUGAAUGAUUAAUUGAUUAUACACAAAUUUUUUGAAUGUUUGUACCAUAUAAGUGUGUAUUAUUAGUAUUCAAACUAGGUUGUUUUGUAAUUUCGGUUUAUAAUCAUCUUAGAACUCACAAUGUUUUUGAAUUUUACCGUGUCAUUAAUAACAACAAUGUUGACCUUAUUGACGUGCAUUAGUGUUCUACCGUUGAUGACUUUCAAAAAGUUUUUGAAUGAGACAAGUNNNNNNNNNNNNNNNNNNNNNNNNNNNNNNNNNNNNNNNNNNNNNNNNNNNNNNNNNNNNNNNNNNNNNNNNNNNNNNNNNNNNNNNNNNNNNNNNNNNNNNNNNNNNNNNNNNNNNNNNNNNNNNNNNNNNNNNNNNNNNNNNNNNNNNNNNNNNNNNNNNNNNNNNNNNNNNNNNNNNNNNNNNNNNNNNNNNNNNNNNNNNNNNNNNNNNNNNNNNNNNNNNNNNNNNNNNNNNNNNNNNNNNNNNNNNNNNNNNNNNNNNNNNNNNNNNNNNNNNNNNNNNNNNUUCUUAUUACUAGAAAUAGAAAUUGCUCGGGUUUUGUUACGGGAAAUAAUAUGAUUUUAGUAUGAAAAAUACAUAAAUAAAUUUAAUUACAUAAUAAAGAAAUGUAUAUACAAAAUAUAAAAAUAUAUGUAAGCACGGAAAAUUGAAUAUGAACAUCAUUGACUUGCUAUUAUUAUUCAUUAGCAAAUAUAAUUAUGGGGUGAGUGACCAGACAUAUUAUAAUUUGAAUUCAAUGAGUAAUGCGUGUUAAAAAUGUUUGAGAUGUAACAAUUAAAAAAAAUUGGAAGUAUAAAUANNNNNNNNNNNNNNNNNNNNNNNNNNNNNNNNNNNNNNNNNNNNNNNNNNNNNNNNNNNNNNNNNNNNNNNNNNNNNNNNNAAGUCACGAAAAAGUUAAAUUUAUGAAGUACAUAUAAGACUUAGAUUUUGUUACACAUAAGGCUUACUUAUGAAAUGGUUGGAGGGGAUCCUACCUUCUUAAAACAAUAGUAACUUUCAUUCUACUACAGUUAUAUAUAAAAUAAUACGCCUCAAUGAAUUAAGCGCAGUACUCUUCAUUACCUUUUUGUAGCACUUUUAGUCUACUUAAAUAAGUACUCAGAAUGAAAAAUCAACAACAUAAGAAUUUACCUGAUUGUAGUGUCAUAAAAUGAAUAAUGUGAAAGGAAUUUCUCAUCGUAACAAAAUAAUAAUAUCAUAAUUAUAUAUAUUUUUCCCUUGUUGGUCCAGUGCUCUAAUCUAUACUUAGUGCAAUAAACCAGCAUUGCAAGUGACAUUGGCCCAUAAGUUUGGGCAAGAAGUGAAGGCCGGAUGAAUGACCGAACUGACUCCGGUUUUAACCAUUUAUAAACGACUAAUCUUUAGACUCACUAGUUUGACUUCCGGUCCAACUCUGAAAACCAUGAUCGUAACAUAUGGAAAUAGUGCACCGGGUUGAAAUAAAAAAAAAAUUGCAACAUAAUCAGGGCAGUAUUACCGGAAUUAGACGGAACUAAUUAAGUUUGGUUCGGUUAGUUAGUUGUUAUGGUUGUCUGGAUUGGGGAAACACACAAGGGUCUGAAUCUAUAUAGGCAGUGUGCCAGUGAUUAAAGAAUCAUGGAGUUUGUUGAAGGUGGGAAGCUAGCUAGCUAGCUAGCUUGUCAAAUCGAACCUAAAAAGGCCAGCGGAGCUGUUCUGUUUCCCGAUCGGAAUAUAAGCCGGCCGGGUGGUAGACGGAUCUAUUUGGGCCGCUAAAAAAUGAGGAAAACGACAUUCCUAUUACGUUGUAAACGACAGGCAGGCGACUCUCGACUGGGGGUUGAAUUUCGAGAACCGGCAAUAGUAAACUUCUUCAUUAUAAACAAUUUUAAUUAAAAUAAAAAAAAGAGAGAGUAGACUUUGGGCGAUCCAGAGAACAACAUUGUUGUUCUUAUUAUGCAUUGUCAGCGCAGCAGCAUGAACUCUUAUCGUAUCCUCAGGAUUAUUAUUAUUGGACUCUGUGUUAUAAUUAUAUAUGAUCACUCUCCAUCUUAAUAUUCAUGCUGAUCGAUGCCCAGGGUGGUAUUUCAAAGUCAUUGUCAGGUUGUUAUAUAUGCACGACUUGGAGUUCUGGGAAAUUACUCGUAUGUUUAGAGGUUGUUUUAGAGUUUAGUUUUCAUUUCGUUAGGAGAUAAAAGAAUGUGGUCGACCAUUUCACAAGUUAGUGCAAAGAUCUCAUUUUCAUGCAUUCCGUUUAUGGACAAUGCACCUCCAAAUUUGGUUCAAAGAUUUUAGACUAUAAUAAUUUUUAUUUGCUAGGAAACUGCAAAUGACAUUUAGGAAAUCUCUCAAAUGAUCGACAAAUUUUAAUAGAAAUUUUAUCGCUACAUCAAUAACGUUAGUAAUGAACUCAUUCGAUAAUUUCUAAUCACCUUCAUCUUAGUAAGUGUUUAGCAAUUUCUAUCCUUCAUUUUUACAAAUAAACAUAAUUAAAAUGAAUCAAUGAAAAAUUAUUAUCUAUUAUUUAUCUAGAAUUUAUUUCUGUUUAUAAAGACAUUUUUUUUAAAAGUAAGUUAUUUUGUCUAUGUAAUAUUACUAAUUGACUUGCUAAAUUAGCAAGCAUCAUUUAUUUUUAACAAUUGCUUAUUGAAUGUCAUAUCACCUUUCAUAUUACUUAACAAUUACUAAGAAAUUAGGGAUGAAAAUGUUCCAACGAAAAAAAAA